rnacentral:tRNA from 1 species
UGUUUCUGCCCAGUUUCAAACCGGGGACCUUUCAUGUGUGAGGCAAACACGAUAACCACUAUACUACAGAAAC